CUCCACCUCUCAGUGGAGGCAGUGACAAAAAAAUUUCAGUUAUUUUUAUCUGCUACAGUAAAGCUACCUGUAACUAAUCAAUGUAAAAGCUGAUGUUUGAAAGGAGAAAAAGAAAAGAGGGGGGCAUGAAAGACUAGAAAUCUGAGCACUGAGUGUCUCUGACAGCAUGUGAUAUAAAGGGAGAAGUUAGCUACACGAUGAUCACCUUCAUGAGGGCUCAAGCUAUUUGGUUCUCAAACUUCAGUGUUCGUCAGAAUCACUGGGAGAACUCAUUAAAACACAGAUUGUUGGGCUCCACUCACAGAGUAUCUGAGUCAGUAGGUCUGGAGUGGUGCCUGGGAAUUUACAUUUCUAACAAAUUCCCAGAUGCUGCUGAUCAUGCUGGUCUUGGGACCAUACUUUGAGAACCAUUGACUUAAAAUGGGCAGGGCCUGAAAAGUGAGAAAAUAAAGAGAAAAGAGGGGACUGUAAUAUCUUUCCUCUAGUGGUAGUUUUAAAAGCCUAGGAUCGGUAGUAUAAAUUUAAGUUCCAGGCCACAAUGAACAUGUUAACAUAGGACCUUUUUCAGGGUAAUUAUCCUAGCUGCUACAGCAACAACCCCUGAAAUCUCAUUAACUUAAUACAAAGGUUUAUUUUCACUUAUGUAAAGUCCAAUGUGAGUCAAGUAGCUUUCCUUCAUGUGGCACUACACCAUCUGGAACAUGUGGCCCUCGAUGUUGCUGAGACAGAAAUGCAGGAGGCACAUUGGCUCUUAACUCCCUCAGCCUGGAAUUGACACAGGUUACCUCUUCUCUCAGUCCAUUGGUCAGAACUAGUCACCUAACUUCAACCUACGUGCAAAGGAAGCUGGAAAAUGUAGGGGUGUAGAUGGAUAGUUAGUAAGCACUAUUUCUGCCACAGCACCUAAUUAAAAAAAAAAAAAAAACAGAACAGUUGCCAUUGAGUUGAUUUCAACUCAUAGUGACCCCAUGAGUGUCAGAGUAGAACUGUGCUCCACAAGGCUGUCAAUGGCUGAUUUUGGGGAAGUAGAUUGCUAGACUUUCCUUGAGGUGUCUCUGGGUAGACUCAAACCUCCAACCUUUAGGUUAGCAGCCAAAGGAGUUAACUGUUUGUACCACCCGGGGACUCCCAACUAACUUUGAUUCUUCUACAGAAUCUUUGAUCAAAAAUGUUCAGUAAUGUAGGUAGGCACAAUCCAAUUAUUCUAUUCUCAUGGCAAAGGAGGCAGUUGUUCAUAGAGGCAACUAGAUGCCUCAUUUCUUUCUUUAUUUUUAUUAUGAUUUAGGUGAAAGUUUACAGAGCAAAUUAGUUUCUCAUUCAAAAAUCUAUGCACAAAUUGUUUCGUGGGAUUGGCUGCAAACUCUCAUUGUGUCAGCACCCUCCCCCUUUUCCUUUCCACCCUGGGUUCACUGUGUCAAUUCGUCCAGUUUUGCUAUCCACUCCCACCUUCUCAUCUUUGUUCCUGGGCAAGUGCUACCCAUUUUAUCUCAUAUACUCGAUCGACCUCAGAAGCACGUUCCUCCACGUGCUUAAUCUUUGGCUAAAAAGUGAACUUCGGGAGUGUCUUCAAUUCUGAGUUAGAAGGGUGUUUAGAGGCCGUAGACUUGGGGAUUCCUCCAGGCUCUGUCAGACCAGUAAGUCUGGUCUGUUUUAUAAAUUUGAGCAUUUGUUCUACAUUUUUCUUCUGCUCUGUUUGGGACCCUCUGUUGUAAUCCUAGUCAGAGCAGUUGGUAGUGGUAGCCGGGUACCAUCUAAGUCUUCUGGUCUCAGUGUCUUAAAGGUUGUGGUUCAUGUGGUAUCAGGACAUUUUUGUUGUUUUGUUAAAGGCUGAUUAAAUAAUAUACCAUCUCCUGUCUUUGCUGAUUCUGCCAAGACACAUAAUUCUUUAGGUAAUUGUUGAAGUGAUCACUUAUGCUGUUGGAGUCUAGACAGUUUGUGCCGACUGGUGACAGUGAGUUAUCAGGACUUGUGGGUAUUUUGGAGUCCUGGUGGGUGCAAUGGUUAAGUGAUAGGGCUUCUAACCAAAAGGUUGGCAGUUUGAAUCCACCAGCCAUUCCUUGGAAACCCUAUGGGGCAGUUCUACUCUGUCCUAUAGGGUCACUGUAGGGUUGCUAUGAGUCAAAAUCGACUAGAUGGCAAUGGGUGUUUGGUUUGGAUGGGCAUUUUAAAAACAAAAGAAUGAAAUGUAUUUUUCUCCCAUCCACGCAAAUCCCACUGUUCCUCAGUAUUAGAAAGCACAGUCCAGAAUUCUGUCAAUGGGAAACUAAGUACAUUUUGGGAUUAAUUUCUUCUUUGGUUUCCGUCUUACUGCUAUUGUCUGCUUUUCCCUGGAAUUCUUUUCUUGUGGUGCCUCCACAAAACUUAACACUGGAGAGCAGGACUGCCAACCACAUGGAGACUCUUUAGUCCUGGGAAAGCAGUUUCUGUUUUUCCUCUGUUCAUGGGAAGACAUUAUUUGGCAGAUAAAACCUCAGGGACAUGCUACACACCCAAUCUCAGUAGCUUUAAGGCAAAUUUCUGUUUUGAUUUUGUCUCUCAAAUUCUGCAGGCUUAAUCAACACCAUGGAUAUAUUGAAAUAAUAUGAUGACGAGAUGUUUUCCACAGAAACAUGCUUGGCUGGUAGCAGUCACCUGUCUUUGUUUGGUAAACUAAAAUACGACAGGUAGGGUCUUUAAAUCAAUAAGUGAAAGAUCAGCAUUACUUUACCCUCUGAACAGAUGAAGAAACUGAAACAAUUUCGUGACGAGCUCAAAGCGUCUUGUAAAAUGGUGGCUGAGUCAUUACCAUCUUCAUUCUAUUACAUAUUCAUUAUUUCAAGAAAUAUUUAUUAAGGACCUACUGUGAGCCUAUGCAGACCAUUCUGCUAGGCUAUUCUGAUACAUCAUUGGUGAAUGAGACAACCAAAGUCCUUGCCCCUUGGAGUUUACAGCUUAAUGGGAGAGGGAGGCUGACAACAAACAAGAGUAACAGGAUACUUCUGUCUCAAGUUUCUGCUGAGGCACCAAAGAUCGAGAACAAAACGAAGAUUCCUGGAUCCACAGCUACCAAAAUGGGAGGAGGUGGAAUGAAGAGAAAGCUGACAGAGCUGCCUCUCACUCUAAACGCUCCAGUCUGAAGGAGUCUGAGGUGAGGGAGGGAAGAUAGUGUAGGGUUCUGAUAUUAUAAUCACCUGAGAAAAGGGACUAUUUGUUUAGGGGCUGCAAGUGACUGGGAUAACUAUGGGAUCAGUGGGAGAUUUUUAUAUGGCAACCAAAACCAUAACCAAACCCGCUGCCAUUAAGUCGAUUCCAACUCAUAGCGACCCUACAGGACAGAGUAGAACUGCCCCAUAGAGUUUCCAAGGAGUGCCUGGUGAAUUUGAACUGCCAGCCUCUUUGUUAGCAGCCGUAGCACUGAACCACUACACCACCAGGGUUUCCAACAGGGAAGGACAUAUGAAGGAAGCAGGCUUGAAGGGGCAGAGGUAAAAAAAAGAGGUAGGAGGGAAUAAUCACUUUCUGUUUGUGUCAUACUGAUCCCAGUUCCUUUAAUGAACUGGUUGUACCAGUAAAUGAAUGAAUAUGAAAUUAUAAACUGUGCUCUAAAGGAUAGUGGGAGGGGUGGUGGUGGAGGAAGGAGCCUAUUUAUGUAGGGUCACAAGGAUGACCUUUCAGGAAAUGCUAUUUAAGGAAUGAGGAAGGAGAAGGAGCUUGGUGGAAGUGGGAGGAGGGAAUGCCCCAGGGUGCAGGCAGAGGCAACAGCAUUUGCAAGGUCUAGGUGCAGGCAAUAUGAACAGCAUCCAAUAAACAUCUGAGUGGUUUCAACCAAGGAUAUUUUCAUUCUUUGUGCAAGGUACUGAGCUAAAUGCUGGGCCUAUAAUCAGGAUAAAUGCCUCCUUCACUGAGAUUUGAGGCUUAAUUGAUCAAUGUCGGAAAAAUACUUUGAUAAGAGGUAAACUCUAAGGGUGAAGAAGCUCCUGCCCUCUGCCCCAAGGUUCUGAUGGCCCCAGGGUAACAUUCUCCUUUUCUGAGAAUUGCCAUGACAAACGGCCUCUCCCAAUGCACUGACUGCCUUUUAUGGAGCAUGGGGGCAGCUGGGUAAAGAACCUCAGAGCUCUCCUGACAGUCUCAGGAGGGAGGGGGGGAAACCUCUCGACUUGUCCAAGGGCUCUAUUCAAGUGUAAGGCUUAGAAAAGACUACUUGUUAUAAGUGUGCCAUCCAAAACAACAGAGGUAAGAUAUCCACAACUCUGCCAGUUAGGGUAGAUAGAUUUUAUUUGUACUGACACACUAAUGGCAUGGGUUGGUUCACUCAAAAAAAAAAAAAAAAAAAAAAGAUGAACUGGUGGCCCUGCAAAGGCCUGGAGAGAGUCUCUGCAGGAAUGUGGACUCAUCCAUUUUAAGCUCAGAUCCCUGGCAGACAGUGACCUCAGUGAGUGCCUGUGCUGUGGCACAGUCCCAGGCCUUGUAGGGUUUCCAGCUGGCAGUCAACCUCCACCAGGGGACUGGCAUCUCAUAGCAGGGAGCAAUGCACCAAAGUCUGGGGGUUCCCAGAAGAUGAAGACUGCCUGUCAACCUCUGCUUUCAGGGAACUCUCUCUGAUUGGGACACAGAACCCUCCUGGCCAAUACACCCAGCAGUCACAUGUACACAGCCAGCCUAAGGGGAAGUAAAAUACACUGUCCCUGAACACCAAGAAAUGAGUACAGUCUAAGUUACCAGAGUUCCAUGCCCUCUAGCUUUCAACUUUAUCUCUUUCCUUUCCUAAUGAUCAAAGUAGCAUAUGCUCGACAGAGAAACUGGCAAGCACGGAACAAUAUAGGAAAUCAACUAUUUUCAUCUUUAAAGAGUGGUUUGUUUUAUUUCAGAUCCCUGGCGGCCCAGUGGUUAAGAGCUUGGCUGCCAACCAAAAGGUUGGCAGUUCAAAUCCACCAGCUGCUCCUUGGAAACCCUAUGGGGCAGUUCUACUCUGUCCUGUUGGGGCGCCAUGAGUCGGAAUCUACUCGAAGGCAACAAGUUUGGUUUUUUGGGGAGGGGUUUUGUUAAUAUAGAAGGAACUUCUGAAUUUUGGAGGGAAGAGUUUGUGCUCUCUUUCCUCUUUCCCAUGGUUGUUAGGUGCCCUUGAGUCAGUUCCAACUCAAAGCGACCCUAUGUACAACAGAAUGAAACACUGCCCAGCCCUGCACCAUCCUCACGAUCAUUGUUAUGCUUAAGCCCAUUGUUGCAGUUCCUGUGUCAGUGCAUCUCAUAGAGGGUCUUCCUCUUUUUCCCUUUUUUCUUACCCAUUGGUGAGUAGUAAUUCACUCCAUUAGAACCUUUGCCUACUAGAGAAACGGUAAUCCCAAAACAGGGUGCUCAGCACAAAGAAAGUACCCAAUAAAUAUAUUUAAAUAUCAAACUUGAGGAAUUUAGGGCUCUAAGAAGUUGGAAUAUGUUUUAUUUUUUAAAUUUUGUUGUUGUUGAGAAUUACACAGCAAAGCAUACGCCAAUUCAACAGUUUCCACAUGUACAAUUCAGUGACUGAUUACAUUCUUCCACUUGUGCAGCCAUUCUCACCCUCCUUUUCUGAGUUGUUUUUCUCAUUAACAUAAACCUACUGCCGUCUAAUCUAUCUAAUCUUUCAAGUUGCUGCUGUCACUUUGAUCCCAUAUAUAUAGUUCUUAAAAGAGCAUAAUACUCAAGGUAGACAUUUUUUUACUAGAUAAGCUAAACUAUUGCUUGUAUUUAAGAGGACUUUUUGUUUAAGGUUUAAAGAUUAACUCAGGACAAUAGUUUUAGGGAUUCAUCUAGGCUCCAUGGCUCCAGAAAGUCUGGAGUCAAUGAGAAUUUUAAAGUGUUUCGUAUUUUCACCCCUUUUGAUCAGGAUUCUUCUAUAGAAUCUUUGACCAACCUGUUCAGUAAUGAUAGCUGGACACCGUUGAGCUCCUCUGGUCUCAUGGCAAAGGAAGUAGUUGUUCACAGAAGCAAUUAAUCACACAUUCCAUUUCCUCCUCCUACUCCUGACUCUCCUUCUUCCUCUGUUGCUUCAGGUGACUGGAGACCAAUUGGUAUACCUUGGAUGGCUGCUUGCAAGCUUUUAAGAUCCCAGGCACUAUGCAACAAACUGGGAGGUAGAACAGAAGUACUAAACACACUAAUAGGCCAAUUAACUUGGCUGUCCCAUGAAACCAUGACCCUAAACCUCCAAACCAAGGAACCAAAUCCCAUUAGGUGUUUGAUUGUAUAUAUAAGCAGCCUCAGCAGCUACUUUAUUAUUAUUUGUCAUUGUGGUAAAUAUGUCUUUCACACAACUUUUGCUAUUUCAACAUUUUACAGGUAUAAAAUUUAUUGACAACAAUUACAAUAAUCCUCUGUGCAACCCUAUUCUUAAUUAGAUUUUUCCAUCACUGUUAACUGCCCUUUCCCCCUCCUUCCUUCCCCUGGUAACCACUGAUACAAUUUGGUCUCUAUACAUUUGCCUUUUCUUAUCUU